rnacentral:lncRNA from 1 species
AACUGGUAAGAAUAAACAUCAGCUCCACAAAAACUAAUGGCUACUCUUGCUUCUUCAUCCUCUCUUCUCCAUUCUUCUUCAUCUUUCAACUCUUCUUCAACUCCAUCAGUCUCCCCUCUUCCCCGACUCUCUCUUAAACUCCCUUCUUCUUCUCCUUCUUCUCUCUCUUCCUCUUUCUCCAUUUCCCCGUCUUUCCUCGCAAUUAAUUCAAGGCGUUUUGCUCCUAAUUCCUCCUACUCAAGCACUGUCAU